UACGUAGGGUGCGAGCGUUGUCCGGAAUUACUGGGCGUAAAGAGCUCGUAGGUGGUUUGUCGCGUUGUUCGUGAAAACUCACAGCUUAACUGUGGGCGUGCGGGCGAUACGGGCAGACGUGGAGUACUGCAGGGGAGACUGGAAUUCCUGGUGUAGCGGUGGAAUGCGCAGAUAGUCAGGAGGAACACCGGUGGCGAAGGCGGGUCUCUGGGCAGUGAAC
rnacentral:rRNA from 1 species